rnacentral:rRNA from 1 species
GACAGAGGGUGCAAACGUUGUUCGGAAUUACUGGGCGUAAAGCGUGUGUAGGCGGCUUUGCAAGUCGGAUGUGAAAGCCCCGGGCUCAACCCGGGAAGUGCACUCGAUACUGCAGAGCUUGAGUGUCGGAGAGGUUGGUGGAAUUCUCGGUGUAGAGGUGAAAUGCGUAGAUAUUGGGAGGAACACCAGUGGCGAAGGCGGCUACCUGGACCGGUUCUGACGCUGAUGCGCGAAAGCGUGGGGAGCGAACAGG